GUGAAGAACGCAGCGAAAUGCGAUAAGUAAUGUGAAUUGCAGAAUUCAGUGAAUCAUCGAAUCUUUGAACGCACAUUGCGCCCCUUGGUAUUCCGAGGGGCAUGCCUGUUCGAGCGUCAUUAUAACCCUCAAGCUCAGCUUGGUGUUGGGGCCUGCUGCACUGGCAGCCCUUAAAAUCAGUGGCGGCGCCAUCUGGCUCUAAGCGUAGUAAUUCUUCUCGCUAUGGAGUCCUGGUGGAUGCUUGCCAUCAACCCCCAAUUUUUCUAUGGUUGACCUCGGAUCAGGUAGGGAUACCCGCUGAACUUAAGCAUAUCAAUAAGCGGAGGA
rnacentral:misc_RNA from 1 species